UACGUAGGGUGCGAGCGUUGUCCGGAAUUACUGGGCGUAAAGAGCUCGUAGGUGGUUUGUCGCGUUGUUCGUGAAAACUCACAGCUUAACUGUGGGCGUGCGGGCGAUACGGGCAGACUGGAGUACUGCAGGGGAGACUGGAAUUCCUGGUGUAGCGGUGGAAUGCGCAGAUAUCAGGAGGAACACCGGUGGCGAAGGCGGGUCUCUGGGCAGUAACUGACGCUGAAGAGCGAAAGCGUGGGGAGCGAACAGG
rnacentral:rRNA from 1 species